UACGGAGGGUGCAAGCGUUAUCCGGAAUCACUGGGUUUAAAGGGUGCGUAGGCGGUCUUGUAAGUCAGUCGUGAAAUCGCUGGGCUCAACCCAUGCAAUUGCGAUUGAUACUGCGAGACUUGAAUUGGGUUAAGGCAGGCGGAAUGUGGCAUGUAGCGGUGAAAUGCAUAGAUAUGCCAUAGAACACCGAUUGCGAAGGCAGCCUGCUGGGCCUUUAUUGACGCUGAGGCACGAAAGCGUGGGGAGCAAA
rnacentral:rRNA from 1 species